rnacentral:lncRNA from 1 species
CACUUGGUAGACUAUAUAACUUAAACAUCCACGGUGGAGACAUUAACACUUGGUAGACUAUAUAACUUAAACAUCCAUGGUGGAGACAUUAACACUUGGUAGACUAUAUAACUUAAACAUCCAUGGUGGAGACAUUAACACUUGGUAGACUAUAUAACUUAAACAUCCAUGGUGGAGACAUUAACACUUGGUAGACUAUAUAACUUAAACAUCCAUGGUGGAGACAUUAACACUUGGUAGACUAUAUAACUUAAACAUCCAUGGUGGUGACAUUAACACUUGGUAGACUAUAUAACUUAAACAUCCAUGGUGGAGACAUUAACACUUGGUAGACUAUAUAACUUAAACAUCCAUGGUGGUGACAUUCACUUUUUCAUAAUGUUUCCAAAUUGAUUGUUUUUUCUAGAAGCACCAGCUUGUUGUUGUUGUCGUCAUGGCUGUUCCUGUUGGGUAGCAACUUCACCAGCUUGUUGUUGUUGUUGUCGUCAUGGCUGUUCCUGUUGGGUAGCAACUUCACCAGCUUGUUGUUGUCGUCAUGGUUGUUCCUGUUGGGUAGCAACUUCACCAGCUUGUUGUUGUUGUCAUGGUUGUUCCUGUUGGGUAGCAACUUCACCAGCUUGUUGUUGUUGUCAUGAUUGUUCCUGUUGGGUAGUAACUUCACCAGCUUGUUGUUGUUGUUGUUGUCAUGGUUGUUCCUGUUGGGUAGUAACUUCACCAGCUUGUUCUUGUUGUUGUUGUCAUGGUUGUUCCUGUUGGGUAGUAACUUCACCAGCUUGUUGUUGUUGUUGUUGUCAUGGUUGUUCCUGUUGGGUAGUAACUUCACCAGCUUGUUGUUGUUGUCAUGGUUGUUCCUGUUGGGUAGUAACUUCACCAGCUUGUUGUUGUUGUCAUGGUUGUUCCUGUUGGGUAGUAACUUCACCAGCUUGUUGUUGUUGUCAUGGUUGUUCCUGUUGGGUAGUAACUUCACCAGCUUGUUGUUGUUGUCAUGGUUGUUCCUGUUGGGUAGCAACUUCACCAGCUUGUUGUUGUUGUCAUGGUUGUUCCUGUUGGGUAGCAACUUCACCAGCUUGUUGUUGUUGUCAUGGUUGUUCCUGUUGGGUAGCAACUUCACCAGCUUGUUGUUGUUGUUGUUGUCAUGGUUGUUCCUGUUGGGUAGUAACUUCACCAGCUUGUUGUUGUUGUCAUGGUUGUUCCUGUUGGGUAGUAACUUCAC